GGAACACCUUCAGGCUUUUCAAAAGCCACGAACGUCUGCCCCGGUGUAUCAGAUGGUAGGCUUCUCAAAGGCUUUGAUACAACUUCUGCGAACUCCUCUGCUUCGGAAGCAUCAACAAAUACAGUAACAUUUUCCAGAAGUUGAUCCGGUAUGGUGUUGGUACAGUUGUACUGAAAUACAACAUGCCCGUUGAAAAUGUGCUUCACCACAUUUACCGCAUAUUCAGUUUCAGCCUCUGUUAACUCUACUGGUGCAGAUGACUUGAAGAGUCUCCCAAAGCCUGCAAACUCGGGAAUGGCAGAUAGCAGUCUUUCAUAUGAGUCGACAACAGGUGUAGGACCACUGGUAGGAGCUCCCAACCCAGUUGGCCUAUUACCCGUAGCCUUCUUCUCAGUAAGAGGCUGUGACUUGACCUCCAAUGAUACAGAAUAAAUGUCAAAAGGAACUUCAGAAGGCUCAUAGUUCUUUAGGCUUGUUUCCAAGUUGACAAGUG
rnacentral:misc_RNA from 1 species